CAAACACCUCGGGAUCAUAUGACACUGAUUGAACAUGGCUUCAGUUCAGUGGCACUCUCGGACACGUAAAUAUGAGAGUGAGUUGCAUAUGUGUCGUUUGGAGGUUUUAGCAGUGGAGUUCAGUGAAUAUCAUCCACUUAAAGCAAUCACGGUGACAGAUUCUAAAUCUCGCCGUGGUGGGCGGAAAGGCAGCACUUCCUCCUCAUCUUCCUCCUCUAGUUCUGUGG